GUUUUUAUAAAAUGAAAUAUUCGUCUUGGCAACUUAAACUAUCGAAGAAAGAUGUUCAUCAAAUAUAUCCACAAGGACGACAAACGGAGACUGCGCAAAAGACAUUUAAAUAAUAUAGUGUUUCGUAUUUCGAAGAAAAUAUAAGUAAGAAUGACAACUUUGUGCAAGAAACAUUGUGCCAAUUGAAGUCCUCAUUCUCACACUCAGGAUUUAUAAUCAACCGUACAAAUUUAGUGAUGGUAUUACUUGGUCUCUGCAUUGUCGCUAACAAUCUGCGUCGUAAUAAAUCAUUUCCUCGACAUUGAUUGAAAGCUUAAUUGUACAAAAGACUGGCAAGUCUUAAAAUUUUUUAACGAUCCAAUUAUCGAACUAUCCAACUUGUUUAAAUGCAUUUAGUUUUACAAUUUAUAAUUUCAAAUUAUAAAUAAUAUUACGAAAAUAUUUUUACUGACGUAAUUAAUUAAAAAUGAACAAACAGUAUUUUUUAAAAUAUUUUCAAAAUGGAUAGGCAAUUUUUAGAUGGUUUGAAGAAAUAUAUAUAUAUAUAUCGCAACAAUUGCUGAAGGUGUGCACCAAAGCAAGACUGCGAUUUAAGGUGAUGCGCAUCCGCGAGCGUACUUACACGCAUUCAUAGACACGCUUACACACGUACGAUAUUAUUAUCUCGUGAUUCAUAGCGCGCAUUCAUAAAUGUUCCCAAGCUGUAUAACGGCACGGUACACAGCGGUAUGUAUCGAUUAACGUCGCUUCCCGACGGGAUUUACAGCCGGUGACUAAAUUAUUUAAAGUCUUCAUUUGUAGCGCGACGGAUGGACGGACACGACCUGGCGACCACGUAUCCAGUUCUUCUUCGGGCGACCUGGUACAAUCGCUGACAAAAGUUCAUUAUAUCUUCGACCUCGACCAAAGCCCCGUUGAUGCACGUAUAUACAAUGUUCGCUUCGUUUCAGUUUGGAGUUACUGUUGUUGCAUUUUCAAGACGUAAGCGUCUUACACGAAGGUGAUAGUCCACGGUAGGACAUGAAACAAUAGAAAAUAAAACACGGACAAAUUUUGCGCGUACGAAAAUUAAAUUUAAGAUGUAAGGCAUCGCUGUAUGAACUUUUGUAAUAUAGUAAAUUAUAAAAAACAAUUUGUUGAAUAUUUGAUCGUGAACAAAAAAAAUGUGUUCAAUUUCUGGUUGCCGGUGAACUUUUGCACGUGAGUAUACGCAAGAAAGAUUGCCGGAUUGUGUGGCGUGCCGCGGCUGCCACCGUCCGCGCCACGAACGUCCAAAUGCUCCAGAGAAGAAGAAAGGGAAACAGAGAAGUAGGAGAGAAACCGAUCGGUCAAGAAAGAAAUAAAGACGAAAAGCUAAAUAGAAAAGGAAGAAGAGAGAAGAGAAGAGAAGAGAAAAGAAGAGAAGAGAAGAGAAGGGAAAAGAAGGGAACAGAAGGGACGAGAAGAGAAGAGAAGACAAGAGAAGAGAACAGUGUUGCAGGCGUCCAUGGAAGGCACGUCGUGCAGAACGUCGGCGAACUCGUGUGUGUUCCGUGUUCCGAAUGCACGGAACAAGCGCUGCUUGUCCGCGGCCACCUGAGUUAUGAUCGCUCUGUGCCCACCCUGGCUGCUCGGCUGGCUGCUUGGCUGCCUACCUCCUUGCUUCCCUAACUGCCCUCUUCUUCUUCACCCUUCUACUUUCACAGCGGCCAUCUUGACUCCAGGAACCGGUUAGCUCCUCCGACUUGGUAUAUUCCACACGGUGAGUUUUACGGACACACAUAAACACCGAAUGAACAGUGUUCGGCGACAUCAGCGACUGUAGCGCCCUCGGAAGUCCAUCCGAGUCUACUCGACGUUAAUGGCUCGUGUGGCGCGAGUUCCUUUGUACUGUUUAAUAACGUCGUUAUAUUACCAAGCACGGUCGUCCGGCAGAAUUGAUUUUUAAAUCCACUCGUUUCAAAGCACCGCCCCGAUUCGCUUGCCUUUGUCGAUGCUUUGAAACAUCGAUGCACGGAUGCGUUAGUUAUCGAUAGUUGUUCUCGAUGCUCGUUUGAAGGAUCAAAGCGCAACCGCGAUUAUCGUUGCGUUGAGCUGGAGAAAUUUUAAAGAUAUUACAAAAGAAGAAAAACCACGGAUUGUUUCUCGCGAAACGCGUGAACCGGGAGAUAACACGCUUUAAUAUUCACCUUCGUGCACGUCUCGAUAGCUGUGUAAGAUUUAUCUUUCAUUAGUAAGUCAUUUGCAUUGAAUAGACACGUUAUGGGUUAACGGGUGUCUCGUUAAUUGUUUGUUCCUGUUCCUUGUCUAACUGCUGACGCCGAUACUGGCGUGGCCUGACGCUUUGACAAGGUACACCGUAGAUAUUACAGCGGUUUGUAGUAUAGCAUAUCAAAUUGCGGUAUGCGAAAAGGUGUAAGAGAGCCAACCGCAGCCCACGGCAACGAGGCGUGGUCGCCGCAAUUACCUCGAUAGAGUUACAAGACUUGUUUUAUGCUCUCGCACAAAUUUAUUAGCCCCAUUCGCGUCAGUUUAAUUACGAAUAAGAUCCGCUGUGAUUCUUUCUCUUUUUCCUCCUUCUCUUUUUCCUAGAGGAAACGUACAGACGUUACAGCUACUUCUUCAUGAGGAUCGGGAACUUCAUUCGGGACCAGUGCAUCUAUACGUGUUACUACACGUUCGAAAAUCCCAAUGAAUUAUAUUUACACAGAAGCGCGCUUGAUAUCAAUCGCGUUCAUUUUAUACUAGACGCAUUCCUUGAAACUCCUGCGGUAAUUAGUUUUACCGCUAAACGCUUAGCGGAACCCGAGAGGCUGCUAACUGCUUUCCACCUACGCAACACCGCUUCGCUUCUUCCCUUCUCUACACCUAUUUUCCCUCUUUCUCUCUCUUUGCUCUUUCCAUCCUCAUCAUCGUUAUUCCGCUCGCUUUUUCUCCCUUUACUCCCUCGAAUCUAGGUACCGCCUCGUCGACUCUCUCGCUUCGCCGCUAACAGUGAGCAAUUAAGCAGAGCAAAGCCAAGGAAUAUGUAUUAUGAAAUUAAUUAUAUCGUGAUAUUGGAGUCGCGAGCUGGUGUGCAAGGUGUAGAUAAGCAUUUAAAUUGACACAUUCCUGAUGUAUCUUAGGCUGUGUGGAUAUCGCGUUUACGAUAAACAUUGAUUUUAUUACUGCUUCGACUGUAUGCUGCAGCAGCAGCAGCAGCAGCAGCAGCUUUUACAGCCACACAUGCAGAUAAGCAUUUUAUAUUCUGUACUUGCUAAGUUAAUUAUUUUGAGUUCCAUGCACGAUUUUUUUAAAUAUCUUUCACUUGCGUUUGCAUAUUAUUUACAAAUUACAUGUAGAUACUUUCUCUUAAUUCCUGUUACCGUAAGGGUUAGUAAAAAAAAAAGUAAUAUUGAAAAUAUUGCGUCGCAAAGUUAGAUUAAGAUAAAUUUUCAUUAAUAUCGUUAUCAAUAAAAAAUUAUACUUUCUACGCAAAUAAGUCGUGGAAAAAAUAUUGGAAAUGACGCGUGUCCUGUUUGUACUCGUAAACGGAGAUUCGUUAAAGGAAAGAAGAAACAGCGAAGAAUGUCAGUAAGCGUGGCGCUCGACAUCGAAUCGCAGCCCCUCCACAAACGUGGAAGACAAAUCGGCCCCGGUGGGUGCAAACGUCGUAAUUAUCGGAGGCGGUAAUCUCUCGACGUGGAAGUGGAGGAUGAGGAGAAGGAAGAAGAAGAGGCGCUCAGUGAAAACUGCGUGACAGAGUGGCUCGGCCUGUUCACCCUUGGCGUCCUCCGAGUUGGCGUACCCUUUUGCCCGGAGUGUCGGCCAUACAUUACCGCCGUUAGAGCCCGCCAGCACUAUAUUAUUCCCUGACACGGCGUGGCGUGGCGUGGCGUAGUAUGGUGCGGUGUGGUAUGGCAUGGCGUACUGUAAAACGACGCGGCGUGAGCAGAAGAGAAACGGAGAAAGUGAAAGAGAGAAGUUUGAGAAGGGGAAGGAGAGAAAGAGGGAAAGAGAGAGAGAGAGAGAGAGAGAAGCGGAAGAAGGAGGCGCAAGGAGGACAGGGAUACAACAGAACGGUUGGGGUAGGAAGGGUGAAAGGCGAGAGAAUACGAAAAGAGAAAACAAGAGUAAGAAGGAGAGGAGCGGGGAGAGAAAAAGAGAGAAAGAGACGCGGAAGAAUUGGAGGGAGAUAGAAAACCGGUACACUCGACUGCUGAUAAACUACCCUCUGCGCUCACUUCGCAGGUAUAAUAAAAUUAUAUCUGGUCGGCUGUAUCGCGAUUCUGGCUGCGAGCGGCGAGGUCGGCACAAAGUUGCCGCCUGCGCGCCUACGGCGGCCGUGAUAAAUAACGUUACGCAGGCCGAGAAGCGGCGGGCUGCAUAAGCAUGGCCCUGAUUCCACGUCGCGGCACUUCUCGAGUCACGGCCACGCCAUGGUAAGCCGCACCGUGGCCACGCCACGCCGCGCCGCGCCGUGCCACUACCGCGGCUGCGGCCAGCACGCGGACACAGACGUGUACCGGUGUACCACCAUCGCUUUCAGAACUGCUGCUGCCGCCGCUGCUGUUGCUGUUCCUGUUGCUAUUGCUAUUGCUGGACCAUAGCUGGAUUUCGAACGCGCAUACAAUCACAAUCUUUCUACAAGAUCCUAACACCUUUCCUAUGUGUAGCUUGAAGCACGUGGAACGUCCAUUUCGCUUCGUUAUACGCUCUGGCAAACGAGCGGACACGCCAAAGCCAAAAUCAACGCCAGAGGUUGAGCGCUGUGCACUUCUGUGCGCUUCACUCAACUCGUUCGUAAAUUAUAAGUCUUGGGGACAUGGUUCGGCUUGAAAUACUGGUACUGACACGCGCAGUGGGACGCGGAUGCAUAAACGCGCCGACGAACUGGAAAACGACGCAGCGGCUUUCGAACAGGGACGUCCGGAACGUUCGUUCCAGUUAGCGCGGAACGUCGUAUAUGCGACGUGAAUACGACAUCGCGUGACAGUCCACUCGUACACUCCGCUUCGUCGACUUUAUCGGACGCGAUACCGUGAUUCAGGCAUUCGACGAUGGUAUCAUCGCACGCCUGCCGCUUCGAGCAGGUGAAUUUAUUCCUUUUUCAAACUGACUUUAACAUGACCGCCAUUCUAGAUCGAUCUUUGUUAUAUUUCUUCCACCCGAUAUUUACGAGUCUUUGAAACGUAUCUAAAAAUAUACGUGUAGCUACAUAUUUUCAUACUUUAAUCGAUCAAUAAAGCUUCUUUCUCACGAGCCUUAAGUAUUUUAACGUUUAAAUCGAGUAAAUGACGUGUUAAAGAAAAAUUGACGUGUCUAAAAUUUUCUAUUUAAACUGACAUGACAUAUUGCUGGAAAACUGCCAAAGAAUCAUCCCACUCAUCAGCAUUUAAAGUACGUUCAAGAUGCAUUGCCAAACGUGCCAGUGAUUAACAGAUGCCGCAGUUGUUAGCAACUACCAAACAAAUCGAGGCUUAUCACGGAUUACAUCUCCCCGAGGGGCUCUUACUUCCUACGACGAAACUAGGAUCUAUACUUGGAUGCCAGAUUUCGAAUAUUAUACCUUGCCUGCCACUUCCCGCUGUCAUGGCUUAUGUCACCCUGUCUUUUCUUUACCUGUCAGGUAGAAAGACACAACCCUGUUCCCUAAUGGGAAACCUCUUUUGCUAGGAUAAAGAGGACGUUAUUUUCGUAGGAUUGAUACCGAGCAAAUACAUUGCAUUGUAAAAUUAGUAAUAUCUCUAUGGAAUGUUCUAGAUCCUAUACCAACAACAAACAGCGAAUAAUCCAUCGCAUCAAGAGAAUUUUCUGUGCGUAAUUCCGAACAUAUUUUUAAGGUGAUAUUAUAUUUAUAGCAGUGGGUUUGG